CCUACGGGUGGCAGCAGUGGGGAAUAUUGGGCAAUGGGCGCAAGCCUGACCCAGCAACGCCGCGUGAAGGAAGAAGGCUUGCGGGUUGUAAACUUCUUUUGUCAGGGAAGAGGAGAAGACGGUACCUGACGAAUAAGCCACGGCUAACUACGGGCCAGCAGCCGCGGUAAUACGUAGGUGGCAAGCGUUGUCCGGAUUUACUGGGUGAAAAGGGCGGGUAGCCGGGUUGACAAGUCAGAUGUGAAAUCCUGCGGCUUACCCGCAGAACGGCAUUUGAAACUGUUGAUCUUGAGUACUGGAGAGUCAGCUGGCCUUCCUCUUGUAGCGGUGACCUGCGUAGAUAUUAGGAGGAACACCAGUUGCGCAGGCGGUCUGCUGGACAGCACCUGACGGUGCGUCGCGAACGCGUGGGGCGCAAACAGGAUUAGAUACCCCUGUAGUC
rnacentral:rRNA from 1 species